rnacentral:rRNA from 1 species
GGUUACCUUGUUACAUACUUCACCCCAAGUCAUGAAUCGCACCGUGGUGACCGUCCUCCUAUGUUAGACUAGCCUCUUCUGGUGCAACCCUCUCCCAUGGUAUGGACUGGCUGUGUGUACAAAGCCCGGGAACGUAUUCGCCAUGACAUUACUGAUUCACGAUUACUAGCGAUUCCGACUUCAUGGGGUCGAGUUGCAGACCCCAAUCCGGACUACGACCGGCUUCUCGGAUUAGCUUCCCCUCUCGGGUUCGCAACCGUUUGUACCGGCCAUUGAU